rnacentral:rRNA from 1 species
GAUGAACGCUGGCGGCGUGCCUAAUACAUGCAAGUCGAGCGAAUGGAUUAAGAGCUUGCUCUUAUGAAGUUAGCGGCGGACGGGUGAGUAACACGUGGGUAACCUGCCCAUAAGACUGGGAUAACUCCGGGAAACCGGGGCUAAUACCGGAUAACAUUUUGAACCGCAUGGUUCGAAAUUGAAAGGCGGCUUCGGCUGUCACUUAUGGAAGGACCCGCGUCGCAUUAGCUAGUGGGUGAGGUAACGGCUCACCAAGGCAACGAUGCGUAGCCGACCUGAGAGGGUGAUCGGCCACACUGGGACUGAGACACGGCCCAGACUCCUACGGGAGGCAGCAGUAGGGAAUCUUCCGCAAUGGACGAAAGUCUGACGGAGCAACGCCGCGUGAGUGAUGAAGGCUUUCGGGUCGUAAAACUCUGUUGUUAGGGAAGAACAAGUGCUAGUUGAAUAAGCUGGCACCUUGACGGUACCUAACCAGAAAGCCACGGCUAACUACGUGCCAGCAGCCGCAGUAA